rnacentral:rRNA from 1 species
GACGAACGCUGGCGGCGUGCUUAACACAUGCAAGUCGAACGGAAAGGCCCUGCUUUUGUGGGGUGCUCGAGUGGCGAACGGGUGAGUAACACGUGAGUAACCUGCCCUUGACUUUGGGAUAACUUCAGGAAACUGGGGCUAAUACCGGAUAGGAGCUCCUGCUGCAUGGUGGGGGAUGGAGAGUUUCGGCGGUUGGGGAUGGACUCGCGGCUUAUCAGCUUGUUGGUGGGGUAGUGGCUUACCAAGGCUUUGACGGGUAGCCGGCCUGAGAGGGUGACCGGCCACAUUGGGACUGAGAUACGGCCCAGACUCCUACGGGAGGCAGCAGUGGGGAAUAUUGCACAAUGGGCGGAAGCCUGAUGCAGCAACGCCGCGUGCGGGAUGACGGCCUUCGGGUUGUAAACCGCUUUCGCCUGUGACGAAGCGUGAGUGACGGUAAUGGGUAAAGAAGCACCGGCUAACUACGUG